AGAGAUUUGAGGCAGUAGGUAAU
rnacentral:piRNA from 1 species